rfam:Pteropus alecto contig80107, whole genome shotgun sequence.
GAAUAUAGGUACUAACUAGAGUACUGAAGUGUAAGUCGAGUCUGAUCUGGGAAGCUAAGCAAGGUCGGGCCUGAUUAGUACUUGGGUGGGAGACCACCUAGGAAUACCAGGUACUGUAGGCA